AAUUGAUUUAUUAUGUCAAACUUUUUUUUGAGCCAAAAUUGGCCACAUCAAAUAUCACUGCCGGGGAUACUCAGAUUUUGAUGAGAAGGCAUAAAAAAAGAAGAAAAUUUAUUGGUUUAACGUUGCCCUAGAAUAUUGACCCAUGAGACUUGAUGUUUAACGCAUUAAGUUUGCUGAACUUGCCGAACUUUGAAUGCAAAUUUGCCCAUGAAGAUUCCAUUAAAGAACUGGGUCAAAUUUCCCACAUAUCACCGAGAUCGAACGGCGUGUGGCAGUGAGACACCUCUAUGUGUAGGAGUUUUUACAUGGCUGCAGUACCUCACAAAUGUUGCCAGCAUUAGGGGGGGAUAACCACCGCUGAAAAUUUUUUUAUGAUAUUCUCGCCAGGAUUCGAACCCCGGCCUCCGAACUUUGAAUACCCACCAAUAAUGAUGUAUUGCUUAUCCUAUUUUAGUAUAACUCUACUAUUAUCCUUGUUAUUAUCCAAAAAUAAGUCUAUCUGGAUCAAAUUUAGGUGCAGGUUCCUAGAAGUCGCAGUAUGCAAGUCGCAGUUUCAUAAUUCAAAUCGGUAAAUAAAUUAUGAUUUAUGGCCCUUAA